GGUAGCGCAACUUAUGAAAAAGGCCUUUCAGCCAUCUUGGAAUUUGUAUGUAAACAAUCUGCAAUAUUUUGCAAUAUCUUUUUUUUGCUCUUUGUGUGUGGAAUUGUAUUGGUGGGAAUAAGAGCAUUGAAAAGUUGAAAGCUCAAGAGAAUAAAUCGACUCUCAGUGUCGGUUGAUGAUGGAGAUAUUUUUCCGCGUUAGUUUUAGCUAGAGACGUCGGUUAAUCGUUCGAUUAAUUCAAAUAAUCGAAUAUCUGUAACAGUAAUUUUAUACCAAAUAAUGAAUAAUCAAGAAAAUACAGUGCAAAAUUUGUUUAACCAUCAUGGUGUUUCGUCAAAAUUCAUAGAAUAUGCUAAAUCAUUUACGGUAGAAGCUUGAUUCCUAGGUGGUGGAGGAGACUGGGAAGAAGAAUUCAGGGUCUGCAGGAGUAAAAUGCGGACUUGAAGAAGGUGGUCUCAGCUCCCGUUCUAAAAUAGUAGUAUUCAAAUUCAGAGCGCCGAGGAAAAAAUACCAUACUAGUGAUCAAUGAUUCUAUGACCAAGCAGAGAUAUUCAAACAAAUCAGCUAUUUCAACAAACAACAUUCGAAGAACAGAUAAUUUUGAACAGCCAAAAUUUUGGUUGGUGCAAAAAAAUGCAUGUCGGACUCGACUAAUAUCGACAGACUCGAUAAUAUGUGAUUCGAUUAUAUACAAUUUUGAACUCGAUUAUAUACAGUUUGGAAAAAAAUAUUUUUUUUUUGUAUUUUAAGUAUGACUUAUUUCAAGAAGGAAGGUAACCUUUUAACGAUAAGGUGAAAUUUAAAUGGCUAUUACAUGUACAGUGGGGUGAAAAUCGUAAUUUUUGAAGAUUUUGCUUGAGU